rfam:Prunus persica cultivar Lovell chromosome G4, whole genome shotgun sequence.
AAUAAAAGAACUUGUCGAGUUAGCCAAGGUGCUUGCCUGAGGACCAAACUAGGGGUUUUCAGAUUUUGAUUGAUUACCCUCUUUAGAAGGCUGCAGGCAAGUCAUCCUUGGCUACCAAACUAAGCUCCUUUUU